rnacentral:rRNA from 1 species
GACGAACCGUGCGAACGUUGUUCGGAAUCACUGGGCUUAAAGGGCGCGUAGGCGGCAGAUCAAGUCCGGGGUGAAAGCCUCCAGCUCAACUGGAGAAGUGCCUUGGAUACUGAUUUGCUCGAGGGAGGUAGGGGUCGAGGGAACUUCUGGUGGAGCGGUGAAAUGCGUUGAUAUCAGAAGGAACGCCGGUGGCGAAAGCGCUCGACUGGAUCUCUUCUGACGCUGAGGCGCGAAAGCUAGGGGAGCAAACGGGAUUAGAAACCCCCGUAGUCC